UAUAAAAUAGUGUAAAGUGCACAUAGGUUUUUGAUUCCUAUAGAAGGGUUCAACUCCCUAUUUUAUAU
rnacentral:tRNA from 1 species